UCAGGGGCUGGGAAAAUGGCUCAGAAAAUAAGACCAGUUGCUGUGCAAGCACAAGGACCCAAGUCUGACCUCUAGCACUG
rnacentral:miRNA from 1 species